rnacentral:rRNA from 1 species
UACGAAGGGGGCUAGCGUUGCUCGGAAUCACUGGGCGUAAAGCGCACGUAGGCGGAUUGUUAAGUCAGGGGUGAAAUCCUGGAGCUCAACUCCAGAACUGCCUUUGAUACUGGCGAUCUCGAGUCCGGGAGAGGUGAGUGGAACUGCGAGUGUAGAGGUGAAAUUCGUAGAUAUUCGCAAGAACACCAGUGGCGAAGGCGGCUCACUGGCCCGGUACUGACGCUGAGGUGCGAAAGCGUGGGAGCAACAGGAUAAGAAACCCGGUGCCCAGAACCGAAGU